UACGUAGGAGGCAAGCGUUGUCCGGAAUUACUGGGCGUAAAGGGCGCGUAGGCGGCCACGCACGUCCGUUGUGAAAUCGCUCGGCUCAACUGGGCGGGGUCAGCGGAUACGGCGUGGCUGGAGCAAGCUAGGGGGCAAUGGAAUUCCCGGUGUAGUGGUGGAAUGCGUAGAUAUCGGGAGGAACACCAGUGGCGAAGGCGGUUGCCUGGAGCUUUGCUGACGCUGAUGCGCGAAAGCGUGGGGAGCGAUCCGG
rnacentral:rRNA from 1 species